ACGAAGGGGGCGAGCGUUGUUCGGAAUUACUGGGCGUAAAGGGCGCGCAGGCGGUCCUUCAAGUCAGAUGUGAAAGCCCCGGGCUCAACCUGGGAACAGCAUUUGAGACUGGAGGUCUUGAGGACGGGAGAGGGGAGUGGAAUUCCCAGUGUAGAGGUGAAAUUCGUAGAUAUUGGGAAGAACACCAAUGGCGAAGGCAGCUCUCUGGACCGUUACUGACGCUGAGGCGCGAAAGCGUGGGGAGCAAACAGGA
rnacentral:rRNA from 1 species